UUCAAUUUUAUGCUUCCAACUGUAUCACGGAACAUUCGUUCGUAAAGAAAUAGGAUUUCGAUUAGAAGACGCGUAAUUAUGACAAUUCACCGUACCAUUCCCAUCCACUGCAACGCUACUGAAUUACUGUAAUUUAUUAUCACGUUGAUUCCUUUUGACGUAUCGCGGUAAUUCACUAAAACGAUUUCAACGAAUAUGUCUUCUACGUAUAAUUACGAAAGCAGGAGGACUGCUAAUGCUCAUGAACGACAAAGUACGCGCUUGUGAGUUACCUGUAAGCGCUGAGAAAUUUAAAGGCAGGAUUGCAAAGCAGGUCGACGUCGUUAGCGGGUUGAGCGGCAAUGUCGAGGCACACGCGAUGGAGAAGUGGCGCAAAAAUGGAAGCUCAGGGAGCGGCGCGUCCAAUCGAUUCAGGGGAAACACGUGAGCCAUCCUGGAGGAAACGCUUCGCUGGAGUAGAACGACCUGUGAAUAUUAAGGUGAUCCGUUCGGGGCUUCGAUCGUUCUUACUUUAUUAAUAUGCCG
rnacentral:misc_RNA from 1 species